rnacentral:rRNA from 1 species
UACGGAGGGGGCUAGCGUUGUUCGGAAUUACUGGGCGUGAAGCGCACGUAGGCAGCUUUGCAAGUUAGAGGUGAAAGCCCGGGGCUCAACUCCGGAAUCGCCUUUAAAACUGCAUCGCUAGAAUUGUGGAGAGGUAAGUGGAAUUCCGAGUGUAGAGGUGAAAUUCGUAGAUAUUCGGAAGAACACCAGUGGCGAAGGCGACUUACUGGACACAUAUUGACGCUGAGGUGCGAAAGCGUGGGGAGCAAACAGG